GGAUGUGAGGGCGAUCUGCCUGUGAUCUCUGCCACCCCAUUGAUCGCCAGGGUUGAUUCAGCUGAUCUGGCUGGCUAGGCGGGUGUCCCCUUCCUCCUUCACCUUCCAGGUCCCUCCUGAAGCUGCGUGCUCAGUGGAAGAGGACAACCUUCCCCGCUAGAGGAGGACCGGUCUUCGGUCAAGGGUAUAUGAGUAGCUGCGCUCCCCUGCUAGAACCUCCAAACAAGCUCUCAAAUAGUUAGAAAUUAAAAGCAAAACAAUAGAGAGUCCAGUAAAAAACCCAAACAUAUUUGAAUAUAGUCUUUGGGUUUUU
rfam:Oryctolagus cuniculus unplaced genomic scaffold chrTn0049, whole genome shotgun sequence.